ACAUCUGAAGGAGAUUAAAGAUUUAUCGGUGAUGGAUGGGGAUGCGUCUGAUUAGCUUGUUGGCGGGGUAACGGCCCACCAAGGCGACGAUCAGUAGGGGUUCUGAGAGGAAGGUCCCCCACAUUGGAACUGAGACACGGUCCAAACUCCUACGGGAGGCAGCAGUGAGGAAUAUUGGUCAAUGGACGAGAGUCUGAACCAGCCAAGUAGCGUGCAGGAUGACGGCCCUAUGGGUUGUAAACUGCUUUUAUAAGGGAAUAAAGUGAGAGUCGUGACUCUUUUUGCAUGUACCUUAUGAAUAAGGACCGGCUAAUUCCGUGCCAGCAGCCGCGGUAAUACGGAAGGUCCGGGCGUUAUCCGGAUUUAUUGGGUUUAAAGGGAGCGUAGGCCGGAGAUUAAGCGUGUUGUGAAAUGUAGAUGCUCAACAUCUGAACUGCAGCGCGAACUGGUUUCCUUGAGUACGCACAAAGUGGGCGGAAUUCGUGGUGUAGCGGUGAAAUGCUUAGAUAUCACGAAGAACUCCGAUUGCGAAGGCAGCUCACUGGAGCGCAACUGACGCUGAAGCUCGAAAGUGCGGGUAUCGAACAGGAUUAGAUACCCUGGUAGUCCGCACGGUAAACGAUGGAUGCCCGCUGUUGGUCUGAAUAGGUCAGCGGCCAAGCGAAAGCAUUAAGCAUCCCACCUGGGGAGUACGCCGGCAACGGUGAAACUCAAAGGAAUUGACGGGG
rnacentral:rRNA from 1 species